UACGUAGGUGGCAAGCGUUGUCCGGAAUUAUUGGGCGUAAAGCGCGCGCAGGCGGCCUUUUUAAGUCUGAUGUGAAAGCCCACGGCUCAACCGUGGAAGGUCAUUGGAAACUGAAAGGCUUGAGUACAGAAGAGGAAAGCGGAAUUCCACGUGUAGCGGUGAAAUGCGUAGAGAUGUGGAGGAACACCAGUGGCGAAGGCGGCUUUCUGGUCUGUAACUGACGCUGAGGCGCGAAAGCGUGGGUAGCAAACAGG
rnacentral:rRNA from 1 species